GACGAACGCUGGCGGCGUGCCUAAUACAUGCAAGUUGAGCGCUGAAGGUUGGUACUUGUACCAACUGGAUGAGCAGCGAACGGGUGAGUAACGCGUGGGGAAUCUGCCUUUGAGCGGGGGACAACAUUUGGAAACGAAUGCUAAUACCGCAUAAAAACUUUAAACACAAGUUUUAAGUUUGAAAGAUGCAAUUGCAUCACUCAAAGAUGAUCCCGCGUUGUAUUAGCUAGUUGGUGAGGUAAAGGCUCACCAAGGCGAUGAUACAUAGCCGACCUGAGAGGGUGAUCGGCCACAUUGGGACUGAGACACGGCCCAAACUCCUACGGGAGGCAGCAGUAGGGAAUCUUCGGCAAUGGACGAAAGUCUGACCGAGCAACGCCGCGUGAGUGAAGAAGGUUUUCGGAUCGUAAAACUCUGUUGGUAGAGAAGAACGUUGGUGAGAGUGGAAAGCUCAUCAAGUGACGGUAACUAACAAGAAAGGGACGGCUAACUACGU
rnacentral:rRNA from 1 species